AUGGCCGUGGAUCUGCAACGCCUGCGCCACAUGUUACUCACCACCGGCGGCGGCCACCACCAGCUCGCCAAUCGGCCAGGCGCCUCGGCCGCCGCCAUGCCUGCGAGCGAGCCUGGCUACGGCGCCGCGGCCCUCUUCACGCCGACGUCGGCCGCGGAUCACUACUCGGAGCGGUUGGCUCUGGCCGCGGUUGAUCCGGCCAGGAAGGGCGACGGCGCUCAGGAAAUGACCGCCGGCAACAAGCGGAGGCGCGUCGACGAGCGGUCGUCCGUGCUCGGCGACGUUCUUGCGGCCCACGCGCAACAGCAGACUGUCGCCGUCGACCACAUCCUGCACAGACAUGCGAGAAAGAUGUGGGCUGCUCUGGCGGAGCAGAGGCGGAGCCACCUGAGGCUCAUCGUGUCCACCGUGGAGGCCAGGGCGGCGAAGCGGCUCAAGGCCAAGGACGACGAGAUCGAGCGGGUCAGGGGCAUGAACUGGGCGCUGGAGGAGCGCCUCAGGAACCUCUACAUGGAGGCUCAGAUGUGGCGCGACGUCGCGCAGUCCCACGAGGCCGCGGCCAACGUGCUCCGCGCCGACCUGCAGCGGGUGCUCGACGCGCAGGCGGUCCGUGGCGGCGGCGGCGGCGAUGGUCAGGACGACGCCGAGUCGUGCUGCUGGGGGGAGAACCAGGUGCCCCUCUGCGCGGAGGAGGUGGGCACGCCGGCCCCGACAGGAGUCGGAAGGUGCAAGGGGUGCGGCGACGGCGCGGCCGUGGUGCUGCUGCUGCCGUGCCGGCACCUCUGCGUGUGCGCGCCGUGCGCGGCCGCAGCGCAGGCGUGCCCGUCGUGCGGAUGCGCCAAGAACGGCAGCGUCUGCGUCAACUUUUCGUGA
rnacentral:rRNA from 1 species